rnacentral:rRNA from 1 species
AUUGAACGCUGGCGGCAGGCCUAACACAUGCAAGUCGAGCGGAUGAAGGGAGCUUGCUCCUGGAUUCAGCGGCGGACGGGUGAGUAAUGCCUAGGAAUCUGCCUGGUAGUGGGGGAUAACGUCCGGAAACGGGCGUUAAUACCGCAUACGUCCAGAUGGUGAAAGGGGGGGAUCUUCGGACCUCACGCUAUCAGAUGAGCCUAGGUCGGAUUAGCUAGUUGGUGGGGUAAAGGCUUACCAAGGCGACGAUCCGUAACUGGUCUGAGAGGAUGAUCAGUCACACUGGAACUGAGACACGGUCCAGACUCCUACGGGAGGCAGCAGUGGGGAAUAUUGGACAAAGGGCGAAAGCCUGAUCCAGCCAUGCCGCGUGUGUGAAGAAGGUCUUCGGAUUGUAAAGCACUUUAAGUUGGGAGGAAGGGCAGUAAGUUAAUACCUUGCUGUUUUGACGUUACCAACAGAAUAAGCACCGGCUAACUUCGUG